rnacentral:ribozyme from 1 species
AAGAGAGAGAAAGAGAAAGAGAAGAAAGAAGAGGAAAGAGAAAGAGCAACAAACCAAUGAUUUCAUCCCUUUCUCUCUUUCGUUCUCUUUUCCUCUCUCUUCCUUUCUUUUCUUCUUCCUCUUCCUUCAGCUCAAAUCUCCAAGGAGCUGGUAGGAGAGGAAAAUCAACUUUUCUACAAAACCAAAGAGCAGCAAACCCCAGCCAAAAGGAAGAAAGAGCUUUCUCUCUUUCUCUCUUUCUUCU